GACGAACGCUGGCGGCGUGCUUAACACAUGCAAGUCGAACGAAGUGGCGAACGGGUGAGUAACGCGUAAUCAACCUGCCCUUCAGAGGGGGACAACAGUUGGAAACGACUGCUAAUACCGCAUACUGAAGGAGGGGAUUGCGUGUGAUUAGCUAGUUGGGGGGGUAACGGCCCACCAAGGCGAAGAUCAGUAGGCGGGCUGGGGGGAUGAACGGCCAAAAUGGGACUGAGACAAGGGCCAGAAUCCUACGGGAGGCAGCAGGGGGGAAUCUUCCGAAAUGGACGGAAGUCUGACGGAGCAACGCCGCGUGAGUGAUGACGGCCUUCGGGUUGUAAAGCUAUGUUAAUCGGGACGCGGUACCGGAAUAGAAAGCCACGGCUAACUACGUGCCAGCAGCCGCGGUAAUAC
rnacentral:rRNA from 1 species